UACGGGGGGAGCAAGCGUUGUUCGGAAUCACUGGGCGUAAAGGGAGUCUAGGCGGUUUGGUAAGUGGGAUGUGAAAUCCCCGGGCUCACCCCGGGACCUGCAUCCCAAACUGCUGAGCUUGAGUACAAGAGAGGGUGGGGGAAUUCCAGGUGUAGCGGUGAAAUGCGUAGAUAUCUGGAGGAACACCGGUGGCGAAGGCGCCCACCUGGCCUGCUACUGACGCUGAAGCUCGAAAGCUAGGGGAGCAAACGGG
rnacentral:rRNA from 1 species